rnacentral:rRNA from 1 species
AUUGAACGCUAGCGGGAUGCUUUACACAUGCAAGUCGAACGGCAGCACGAGGAGCUUGCUCCUUGGUGGCGAGUGGCGAACGGGUGAGUAAUAUAUCGGAACAUGCCCAGUAGCGGGGGAUAACUACUCGAAAGAGUGGCUAAUACCGCAUACGUCCUACGGGAGAAAGCAGGGGACCUUCGGGCCUUGCACUAUUGGAGUGGCCGAUAUCGGAUUAGCUAGUUGGUGGGGUAAAGGCCUACCAAGGCGACGAUCCGUAGCUGGUUUGAGAGGACGACCAGCCACACUGGGACUGAGACACGGCCCAGACUCCUACGGGAGGCAGCAGUGGGGAAUUUUGGACAAUGGGGGAAACCCUGAUCCAGCCAUCCCGCGUGUGCGAUGAAGGCCUUCGAGUUGUAAAGCACUUUUGUCAGGAAAGAAAUCGCCCGGGAUAAUACCUCGGGUGGAUGACGGUACCUGAAGAAUAAGCACCGGCUAACUACGUGCCAGCAGCCGCGGUAAUACGUAGGGUGCAAGCGUUAAUCGGAAUUACUGGGCGUAAAGCGUGCGCAGGCGGUUCGGAAAGAAAGAUGUGAAAUCCCAGGGCUUAACCUUGGAACUGUAUUUUUAACUACCGGGCUAGAGUGUGUCAGAGGGGGGUGGAAUUCCGCGUGUAGCAGUGAAAUGCGUAGAUAUGCGGAGGAACACCGAU